GUCCUGCUGCUGUCCAUACAGAACCCCCUGUACCCCAUCACCACGGAUGUUCUGUACACAGUGUGUAACCCCAUCGGUAGUGUGCUGAGGAUCGUCAUCUUUAAACGAAAUGGAAUCCAGGCCAUGGUGGAGUUUGAGUCAGUUCAGUGUGCUCAGAAGGCCAAAGCUGCUCUGAAUGGAGCUGACAUCUAUGCUGGCUGCUGUACUCUCAAGAUUGAAUAU